GAUUUCCACAUCUGAGCCCAGGAUUUCUCAGCAGAGGACUCCUGAGGUUCUUCCCAGCAGAAAUGCAAGCCUUUUGGUGCAUGUUGAAAGGUCAUUUCUUUGCACGUCCAGCACUUUUCAAUCCUGUCUCAACCAAAUUUGUAUUUAUGUCCUGGGCUUUGCUGUCUGAAGCUCCAAGGCCGCCAGCAAUGGGAAGGUGAGUUCUUUGACCCAUGGAACAGCCAAAGGACACCUGCAUUUUACUUGUGAACGGAUUAUGUGUGGAACUCCUCCUGUGGUGGUACCAAAGCAAUGCAAUGUCUUCAUAGCACCAGGAGUGCUCUCCCAGCCUGAAGGUGUGUCAGUUCCAAGCCAGCCUUUCACCAAAACACCCAGACGUUGGCAGCAUCAAACUCUGCUCUGAGUUGCAACCACACAGCAUGGCGUGACCUGCUUGAGCCGCACAGGUCUGCUGCUAGGUGGAGAAGGAUCCCAGUGACCACACUGGGACUACAGCAGCAGGAGAGGUUGUAUCUUUGGAGAGGCUCCACCAGGCUGCACUUACCAGGAAUUCUGCUGCCAGCUGAUAUUACAGGUGGGAGCCCAGGAGGAGAAGCUCUUCAUCUUUCCUAGUGAUCUGAACGCAUGUGCCUUGGAGGAAUGAGAGAUCUUGAAACCAUAGGUAUUGAGGCAUGUGGCUGACAUGUAGGGCUGAGCUAGAGUAGAGGUUUUGGCUCAUUCCUUUGAUCUUGAGUUGAUACUUAAUGUUUUUAUUAUUUGAUUGGUGUUUUUGUGAUUACGUGCACCUGCCAAUAAUGAUAUCCAGGCCCACGUGUAGAUGGGGUGCUGUUGAAAUUAAACUCCUUUCCUUCCUUAAAAUGACUGUAUAAAC
rnacentral:lncRNA from 7 species